rnacentral:rRNA from 1 species
UACGUAGGGGGCAAGCGUUGUCCGGAUUUAUUGGGCGUAAAGGGCGCGUAGGCGGCUCAUGAAGGCUGUGGUGAAAGUCCGGGGCUCAACCUCGGAUCGGCCGUGGCGACUCGUGGGCUGGAGCACUGUAGAGGCGGGUGGAAUUCCGGGUGUAGCGGUGGAAUGCGUAGAGAUUCGGAAGAACACCCAUGGCGAAGGCAGCAUUCUGGGCUCAACCUGACGCUGAGGAGCGAAAGCCAGGGAGCGAACGGG